UCAGGCCUAACACAUGCAAGUCGAACGCCCCUUUUGGGGAGUGGCAGACGGGUGAGUAACGCGUGGGAAUUUGCCCAUUGGUGGGGGAUAACUCAGGGAAACCUGGGCUAAUACCGCAUACGCCCUUUGAUAGUGGAUAUUGAGGGGGAAAGAUUUAUCGCCGAUGGAUGAGCCCGCGUAAGAUUAGCUAGUUGGUGGGGUAAUGGCCUACCAAGGCGACGAUCUUUAGCUGGUCUGAGAGGAUGAUCAGCCACACUGGGACUGAGACACGGCCCAGACUCCUACGGGAGGCAGCAGUGGGGAAUAUUGGACAAUGGGGGCAACCCUGAUCCAGCCAUGCCGCGUGAGUGAUGAAGGCCUUAGGGUUGUAAAGCUCUUUCGCUAGGGAAGAUAAUGACGGUACCUAGUAAAGAAGCCCCGGCUAACUCCGUGCCAGCAGCCGCGGUAAUACGGAGGGGGCUAGCGUUGUUCGGAAUCACUGGGCGUAAAGCGCACGUAGGCGGACUGAUCAGUUGGGGGUGAAAGCCCGGGGCUUAACCUCGGAACUGCCUUCAAUACUGUCAGUCUUGAGUUCGGGAGAGGUGAGUGGAAUUCCUAGUGUAGAGGUGAAAUUCGUAGAUAUUAGGAAGAACACCGGUGGCGAAGGCGGCUCACUGGCCCGAUACUGACGCUGAGGUGCGAAAGCGUGGGGAGCAAACAG
rnacentral:rRNA from 1 species